AUUGAACGCUGGCGGCAUGCUUUACACAUGCAAGUCGAACGGUAACAGGGAGCUUGCUCCGCUGACGAGUGGCGAACGGGUGAGUAAUGCGUCGGAACGUGCCGAGUAGUGGGGGAUAACGCAUCGAAAGGUGUGCUAAUACCGCAUACGUACUGAGGUAGAAAGUGGGGGACCUUCGGGCCUCACGCUAUUCGAGCGGCCGACGUCUGAUUAGCUAGUUGGUGAGGUAAAGGCUCACCAAGGCGACGAUCAGUAGCGGGUCUGAGAGGAUGAUCCGCCACACGGGGACUGAGACCCGGCCCAGACUCCUACGGGAGGCGGCGGUGGGGAAUUUUGGACAAUGGGCGCAAGCCUGAUCCAGCCAUGCCGCGUGUCUGAAGAAGGCCUUCGGGUCGUAAAGGACUUUUGUCCGGGAGCAAAUGCUGGUGGCUAACAUCCACCGGAGCUGAGAGUACCGGAAGAAUAAGCACCGGCUAACUACGUGCCAGCCGCCGCCGUAAGAC
rnacentral:rRNA from 1 species